GCUGGCGUAGCUCAAUCGGUAGAGCACCUGUUUUGUAAACAGGCGGUUGGGGGUUCAAGUCCCUUCGCCAGCUCCA
rnacentral:tRNA from 1 species